CCAAAGGCUCUUUUAAGAGUCACUUAAUACAUGAAAAUUAGUGUGU
rfam:Salmo salar isolate Sally breed double haploid chromosome ssa14, whole genome shotgun sequence.